UACGUAGGUGGCAAGCGUUGUCCGGAAUUAUUGGGUGUAAAGCGCGCGCAGGCGGUCCUUUAAGUCUGAUGUGAAAGCCCACGGCUCAACCGUGGAGGGUCAUUGGAAACUGGGGGACUUGAGUACAGAAGAGAAGAGUGGAAUUCCACGUGUAGCGGUGAAAUGCGUAGAGAUGUGGAGGAACACCAGUGGCGAAGGCGACUCUUUGGUCUGUAACUGACGCUGAGGCGCGAAAGCGUGGGGAGCAAACAGG
rnacentral:rRNA from 1 species